rnacentral:rRNA from 1 species
CGCGUAGGCGGCCUGGUAAGUCGCGUGUGAAAUGCCGGGGCUCAACCCCGAGCACUGCAUGCGAUACUGCCUGGCUCGAGAGAGGUAGGGGCGAGCGGAAUUCCCGGUGUAGCGGUGGAAUGCGUAGAUAUCGGGAAGAACACCUGUGGCGAAGGCGGCUCGCUGGACCUUUUUCUGACGCUGAAGCGCGAAAGCGUGGGGAGCAAACA